rnacentral:rRNA from 1 species
GGUUCAAGGAUGAAAGACGGUUUCGGCUGUCACUUACAGAUGGACCCGCGGCGCAUUAGCUAGUUGGUGGGGUAAUGGCUCACCAAGGCGACGAUGCGUAGCCGACCUGAGAGGGUGAUCGGCCACACUGGGACUGAGACACGGCCCAGACUCCUACGGGAGGCAGCAGUAGGGAAUCUUCCGCAAUGGACGAAAGUCUGACGGAGCAACGCCGCGUGAGUGAUGAAGGUUUUCGGAUCGUAAAGCUCUGUUGUUAGGGAAGAACAAGUGCGAGAGUAACUGCUCGCACCUUGACGGUACCUAACCAGAAAGCCACGGCUAACUACGUGCCAGCAGCCGCGGUAAUACGUAGGUGGCAAGCGUUGUCCGGAAUUAUUGGGCGUAAAGGGCUCGCAGGCGGUUUCUUAAGUCUGAUGUGAAAGCCCCCGGCUCAACCGGGGAGGGUCAUUGGAAACUGGGAAACUUGAGUGCAGAAGAGGAGAGUGGAAUUCCACGUGUAGCGGUGAAAUGCGUAGAGAUGUGGAGGAACACCAGUGGCGAAGGCGACUCUCUGGUCUGUAACUGACGCUGAGGAGCGAAAGCGUGGGGAGCGAACAGGAUUAGAUACCCUGGUAGUCCACGCCGUAAACGAUGAGUGCUAAGUGUUAGGGGGUUUCCGCCCCUUAGUGCUGCAGCUAACGCAUUAAGCACUCCGCCUGGGGAGUACGGUCGCAAGACUGAAACUCAAAGGAAUUGACGGGGGCCCGCACAAGCGGUGGAGCAUGUGGUUUAAUUCGAAGCAACGCGAAGAACCUUACCAGGUCUUGACAUCCUCUGACAACCCUAGAGAUAGGGCUUUCCCUUCGGGGACAGAGUGACAGGUGGUGCAUGGUUGUCGUCAGCUCGUGUCGUGAGAUGUUGGGUUAAGUCCCGCAACGAGCGCAACCCUUGAUCUUAGUUGCCAGCAUUUAGUUGGGCACUCUAAGGU